AUGGAUGUCAAAACUGCAUUCCUGAAUGGAUUUCUGGAAGAAGAGUUGUAUAUGAUGCAACCAGAAGGUUUUGUCGAUCCAAAGGGAGCUAACAAAGUGUGCAAACUCCAGCGAUCCAUUUAUGGACUGGUGCAAGCCUCUCGGAGUUGGAAUAAACGUUUUGAUAGUGUGAUCAAAGCAUUUGGUUUUUUACAGACUUUCGGAGAAGCCUGUAUUUACAAGAAAGUGAGUGGGAGCUCUGUAGCAUUUCUGAUAUUAUAUGUGGAUGACAUAUUACUGAUUGGAAAUGAUAUAGAAUUUCUGGAUAGCAUAAAGGGAUACUUGAAUAAAAGUUUUUCAAUGAAAGACCUCGGUGAAGCUGCUUACAUAUUAGGCAUUAAGAUCUAUAGAGAUAGAUCAAGACGCUUAAUUGGACUUUCACAAAGCACAUACCUUGACAAAAUUUUGAAGAAGUUCAAAAUGGAUCAAGCGAAGAAAGGGUUCUUGCCUGUGUUACAAGGUGUGAAAUUGAGUAAGACUCAAUGCCCGACCACUACAGAAGAUAGAGAGAAUAUGAAAGAUGUUCCCUAUGCAUCAGCCAUAGGAUCUAUCAUGUAUGCAAUGCUGUGUACCAGACCUGAUGUGUGCCUUGCUAUAAGUUUAGCAGGGAGGUACCAAAGUAAUCCAGGAGUGGAUCACUGGACAGCGGUCAAGAACAUCCUGAAAUACCUGAAAAGGACUAAGGAUAUGUUUCUCGUAUUUGGAGGUGACAAAGAGAUCAUCGUAAAAGGUUACGUUGAUGCAAGCUUUGACACUGAUCCGGACGAUUCUAAAUCGCAAACCGGAUAUGUGUUUACAUUAAACGGUGGAGCUGUCAGUUGGUGCAGUUCUAAACAAAGCGUUGUAGCGGGAUCUACAUGUGAAGCGGAAUACAUAGCUGCUUCAGAAGCAGCAAAUGAAGGAGUCUGGAUGAAGGAGUUCAUAUCCGAUCUAGGUGUCAUACCUAGUGCAUCGGGUCCAAUGAAAAUCUUUUGUGACAAUACUGGUGCAAUUGCCUUGGCAAAGGAAUCCAGAUUUCACAAAAGGACCAAACACAUCAAGAGAUGCUUCAACUCCAUCCGGGAUCUAGUCCAGGUGGGAGACAUAGAGAUUUGCAAGAUACAUACGGAUCUGAAUGUUGCAGACCCGUUGACUAAGCCUCUUCCACGAGCAAAACAUGAUCAGCACCAAAGCUCCAUGGGUGUUAGAAUCAUUACAGUGUAA
rnacentral:rRNA from 1 species